UCCAUUCUGAAUGCAGUCGAGGAGUGUUAACGAGAUUCAGGUGGACUCGGGAGGUCCAAUCAGAUUUAGGUCUGUGGCCUGAUGACUAAUUGGAUCUGUAGUCUCUUGAUCAGUUACUUCCAAGCCUGUGGUCUCUGCACUGAACGAGCAUUGCUCUGCUCAAUUAACCCACACCAAACUCGACGCCUUACAAAAAUAAUCGAAUUUAAUGGUGUAAUUGUGCAGCAAGGCACCAUUUUACCCCACUGUAAACCUAUGCAGUAGAUUCAAACCUGAACAAAGCACUGAUGACCCUCUACAAAGCAGGAAUGGUUCAGGCGGGGUACAAUACUCUGAACAACACAACCAUAGCCAUUUACUCACUAGCCUGUCUACCUGCAUUCAUUUUAAAGCAAUAACUCGUGGAUGAGCAACACCACUCACACUGAUGGCUCCACUUAUGCAGUGACCAAAACAGCAGCACAUCCCCACAGUCAGAUCACGAAUCGCCGUGACUUCAUCUCCACGUUAUGCAAUUCAAUCACGGUCAGCUACUGUCAAAAUUGAACAAGAAGUCUGUUUAUAGCCAGCUACCUUAAUAAUAAUAACAACCAGGUUUUGGCUCUGUUGCCUCUGCUGGUAGAUGUUGUAACUACACCAUUAUGAAGGGUGACUACAUGGCAUUUGCUGACUAGGUGAUUGCCUAGAAAAGAAUCUUUCCAGAACUGAAGCAAAGAUGACAUUUGAAGAGGUGCAUGCAAGCUGCUUCCGUGGCCCCCGGAGAGAGGGACGUUACGUGGAGGGUGAGGCAUCCCAGAAUAUGAGGAUAAAUUGCAGGUAAUCCUGCAGGACUGGCGCCCUGGUAAUCAACACUCUUCCAACUGGAAACAUUUUACAAUUCUUCAUCUUAAUUUAACUUCUCUUUUUUUCUACUGUUCCUUUACCUGGCAAUUCUUAGCAGCGGGUGCAAUCAUUUGCACUGGCGUUUGAAAGGAGAGGCUGUGGAAAUGCGAAAUGGAGAGCUUUUAAAAGGGGGGGAAGGGGGCGAUAAGCAAAUCAAAUUAAUGACAAUGAGUGUUUGUGGAGAGAAGGAAGGCAGAUAGCUUGUUUGAGCCCAUCGUGCGUGCCAUGUUAAACACUUCACUCGCCGUGGAGGGGCUAAUCCAGUCUCCGACAGCUAGCUGAUUAUACGAAUAAACUACACACGCUCGCCGCGGAGAGAAAGGAGCAUCCCUCGUUAACGUUCAAGCUCACUCCAACAAGGAAGUAAUUAAGAUGCCAGCCCUCCCCCCAACAAACCAAAAAAAAGAAGGAAUGAUUUUAAGUGUUUUCUAAUAGACCGGCUUGAAGGUGUUUAUUUUAUAUUGUCUCAGUGCAGAAGUCAUUAUGCGGCUGAAGAAGGGCUUACAGGGAGCUAAACGCGGUGCGGCGAGGCAAGACGAGUUUGUGGUUGUUGAGUAAAGUCAGAUGGCUCGGAGCUCGCCUGCAACACUCACUCUGUGAUGCACUCCAGAGUUGCAGGAGCAUAUGAACUGUCGCUUGUUGUUUUAAAUAAUAGAUUGCCUACCUUAAUUUCAUGCCUGAUAUUUUUGGCAUGGGUUAGAGUCUUUUGGAUGGGCAGCAUCUGUCAGACCUCGGCGGAGGCCAAGAAAACAUUCCCCACCCAAGCUGUAAGAGAAAAAAAAGCUUGUGUUUAGCUUGAAUAUUGCGACAGUCGGCCACCGGCUCUGCAGGUUACAGGCACUGCAGGAAGCUGGUAAAACAGAACUUUUAAUAGAUUUCAAGAAAUUUCCAAUCCUUUUUGAGCACUUUUCUCAUUGGUUUUAGUUUCGUGUGGAGUGCUCGUGCGAUUGAUGGUUAAGUAGUUUAACAGUGAUUACAGUGGAGUGAUAUUUGAUUAUUAUCUCCUGAAACAGCAACUCCUCCGGCUUUCUGUUCUCUUAACAAUAGUUUAAUUGUUAGUUUGGACACCCACUCAAUAGACAGCCGAAAUGAAGAGCAGUAAUGGAAGAGAAUUAUGGGGGGAAUGGUAUAAAACAGAACCUGCAUGUCUAUUUUUUUAAAUUAGAUAUAUUUUGAUUAGCCACGAGAGCGUCUUUACCAUGACCUGUUCAAUCAAUAACACGUGUUGGAAUUUUUAAAGUACCGGAGCUCUAUUUAUAAUGAGUUUUUCAUUUUAAUCAUUUUUCAGUGUGAAA